UUCAAAUUUUCUUGUAUUUUAUAGGCUGAAAUACAAGAGCUGGUACAGUCUGAGCCAUCUCUUACAAAUAUCGAGGUAAUAGAAAGGUGUUUCGGACCUCAAAACAAGAGUCAUGUGGUUGGAUUAGGGGGUGGUAUAACCACUAAGGAGUUGAAAGGCGGUAGCUCCUCAAAGGCUGCGAUCCUGAUUGAGCUAAAUGCAACUCGAAAAGAAAAAGAAUCACUACAAACCGAGCUGAAUGCAACUAAAAAAGCAAAAGACUCUCUGGAAAAAUGUAUGGACGACUUUGAGUCUAAGUAUGAUCAUCUUAUAAGCUUAUUGGUUGAUCAACCUUCAUCAACACCAUCUACAAGUCAACAAAGUACAAGUUGAAGUAUUUGACAGAUAAAGGGCCUGAAGUUUGAAGAAUCAUCCUUCAAGAGAGUUUCGAGCAAGUUGAAGCAUGUGGAAUUGUUGAAGAUCAAGGGAAAUCUAUUUUGUUUCAUUAGGAGUUGUAGUCAUCCGUACAAACUAUACUAUUUCGCUUUCUCUUUAGUUUUCUGUUUUCUUUAAGGAAUUGAAACAAAAGGAUCAUGCAAUUUGGAUGUAAUAUAUUAUUUGAUGUUUUAGUUCUUUAUAAUUAAAAAAGAUAUUUUAUGUCGAUA